rnacentral:rRNA from 1 species
GACGAACCACACAACCGUUAUUCGGAAUUACUGGGCUUAAAGGGUGCGUAGGCGGCGUGGAAAGUUGGGUGUGAAAUCCCUCAGCUUAACUGAGGAACAGCGCCCAAAACUACCAUGCUCGAGGGAGAUAGAGGAAUGCGGAACUUAGGGUGGAGCGGUGAAAUGCGUUGAUAUCCUAGGGAACACCGGUGGCGAAAGCGGCAUUCUGGAUCUGACCUGACGCUGAGGCGCGAAGGCGCGGGGAGCGAACGGG